AUACGUAGGGUGCAAGCGUUAAUCGGAAUUACUGGGCGUAAAACGUGCGCAGGCGGUUUUGUAAGACAGUGGUGAAAUCCCCGGGCUCAACCUGGGAACUGCCAUUGUGACUGCAAGGCUGGAGUGCGGCAGAGGGGGAUGGAAUUCCGCGUGUAGCAGUGAAAUGCGUAGAUAUGCGGAGGAACACCGAUGGCGAAGGCAAUCCCCUGGGCCUGCACUGACGCUCAUGCACGAAAGCGUGGGGAGCAAACAGGAUUAGAUACCCUGGUAGUCCACGCCCUAAACGAUGUCAACUGGUUGUUGGGGAUUUAUUUUCUCAGUAACGAAGCUAACGCGUGAAGUUGACCGCCUGGGGAGUACGGCCGCAAGGUUAAAACUCAAAGGAAUUGACGGGG
rnacentral:rRNA from 1 species